rnacentral:sRNA from 1 species
CUUAUCUCUUUGUUGCCUCGGCGCAAGCUACCCGGGACCUCGCGCCCCGGGGGGCCCGCCGGCGGACAAACCAAACUCUGUUAUCUUCGUUGAUUAUCUGAGUGUCUUAUUUAAUAAGUCAAAACUUUCAACAACGGAUCUCUUGGUUCUGGCAUCGAUGAAGAACGCAGCGAAAUGCGAUAAGUAAUGUGAAUUGCAGAAUUCAGUGAAUCAUCGAAUCUUUGAACGCACAUUGCGCCCAUUAGUAUUCUAGUGGGCAUGCCUGUUCGAGCGUCAUUUCAACCCCUAAGCACAGCUUAUUGUUGGGACUCUACGGCUUCGUAGUUCCCCAAAGACAUUGGCGGAGUGGCAGCAGUCCUCUGAGCGUAGUAAUUCUUUAUCUCGCUUUUGUUAGGCGCUGCCCCCCCGGCCGUAAAACCCCCAAUUUUUUCUGGCGGCGAGUGAAGCGGGAACAGCUCAAAUUUGAAAUCUGGCCCUCGGGUCCGAGUUGUAAUUUGUAGAGGAUGCUUUUGGUGCGGUGCCUUCCGAGUUCCCUGGAACGGGACGCCUUAGAGGGUGAGAGCCCCGUACGGUUGGACGCCUAGCCUCUGUAAAGCUCCUUCGACGAGUCGAGUAGUUUGGGAAUGCUGCUCUAAAUGGGAGGUAUAUUUCUUCUAAAGCUAAAUACUGGCCAGAGACCGAUAGCGCACAAGUAGAGUGAUCGAAAGAUGAAAAGCACUUUGAAAAGAGGGUUAAAUAGCACGUGAAAUUGUUGAAAGGGAAGCGUUUAUCACCAGACUUUUUCUAGGGGGAUCAUCCGGUGUUCUCACCGGUGCACUUCCCCUAGUUGAGGCCAGCAUCGGUUUUCGGAGGGGGAUAAAAGUUUCGGGAAUGUGACUCCCCCGGGAGUGUUAUAGCCCGUUACAUAAUACCCUUCUGGGGACCGAGGUUCGCGCAUCUGCAAGGAUGCUGGCAUAAUGGUGAUCAACGACCCGUCUUGAAACACGGACCAAGGAGUCGAACAUUUAUGCGAGUGUUUGGGUGUCAAACCCUCACGCGUAAUGAAAGUGAACGGAGGUGAGAGCCCUUACGGGUGCAUCAUCGACCGAUCCUGAUGUCUUCGGAUGGAUUUGAGUAAGAGCAUA